rnacentral:lncRNA from 1 species
AAAUAAUGAUUGUUCAGUUAUAUGUGCAGAAAAAGUAAUGUGCAUCUAUUCUUGUAAAGGAGUCUGUAUUUUCAAUACCCUCACAUUACUUCAUGUGCAUAUGUAUCUAGAUCUAGGUUACUGAUGUAUAUGUGUCUGUGUGUAUAUCUUAUAGUUCAUUUCCCUGGAGAACUCUUUCCUUGUAUCCCUCCUUAGGCCGCACUCGUUUCCUUUACUGUCUCCCUUGCCUUCAGCAUCUAUACUUUGGUCCCUAUAGCUACAAGUGACAUUCCUAUGUUCACACAUAUGGUUCACUUGAAGGAAGGUUUGACAAAUUAGACUUCUGGUUUUCUUUAUGUCCCUAUUCCUAGCUCCUUUCACUCACACAGGAGUCCUCAGCUCCUGACGCCAUGUUUGUGAGCGUCUGCUCCCUUUUGCUCUGGAUUUACCACAUGUGCACUGUGUUUGGAAACAGUGGCAACCUGGGGAUUCUUUUUUGUAGUGAGUUUGUUAAAGCUGCUCUAAAUACGAAACCUUGUCGGACAUCUUUCUGAUCAGUGCAAAUGUUCUAAAGCCUCUGUUUGUAUGAGUUAUACCUGGAAAUCCCUCCAAAACUCGAUAGGAUGGAAAAAGGAAGGAAUUAGGGUUGGUUUGGUUUGUUUUUUGCUAGUUUACUCACUGCCCUUAUACCUUAAUGUGAUUUUCUCACAUAUAAAUAUAUACAUACACACACACACAUUGAAGUAUAGCUCCCUUUGCCUUUAUGUUCAUUAGAAUAGUGCUUUAAUAAUUAUAAACUAUAUAGGCUAUAUCUUUUCUAGAACUAGAAUCGUGUUUAAGAAUGGAGACAGUUUUUUGCUCUCUUUUAGUGCAAUAAGCAGUUUUACAGGAAAGUUCUGUCUGUCAUCCUCACCGUGGAUAGCAGGAAGAACAGACAUCCGUAGUUUAAAGGGAACAAAGUAAUACAGCCUUAAUUUCAGAAGGAGAGCUUCAUAAUUUUCAGUUUUAAAGCAAUUCCUUAAAAUAAUUUUAGCCAAAGGAGUAAAACCGAUCAAAGGCGCCUCAGCUGUGAGGUCAGAAGCAUAGUUGAACUUAAGUUUUUAAAAAUGACAGUGAACAGCUUAAGAUUUAAAUAUUCUUUCUUACUUAUUGAAGAAUUGUGCUUCUUUGACUAACAGGAAUUGAGAAAAUACAGGAUGAUUUUUUUCUAUCUUUUUACCAGUAUAACUUUCUCUUUAAAAAUAAGAUGGCAAUGAUGAAGGAAAUUAGGACUUUGGUCAUUUAAAAUUAGUAAAAUUUCCGAAAUACAGUGAAAACUUUGCAAAAACUUAGUUUUCUCCACUUCUUUAAUCAAUAACCUUAAUAACGUUGGAGCUGUCAAAGCUGAGUGUCUCAGUAAUGGCAGGUUCAGGGAACUUUGCACUUUGUAAGUCAUGAACAUUGCAUGUGAGUUUUCUCUGUUGUCCCCACCCUGGCUCUGAGGACAGACACUACAGAUGUUUGUGGAAUGCACUGUCGGCCUUUCAGAAGCCCCACCCCGCCAUGAACAGGAAUGCAGUUAUGUCUUCAUUUGCUCUCUUUAGUCCACAUUGUAGCCAAUUUACUACAUUUCAAUAUAAAAUCUGAGCCAUGUCCUACAGGCAUGAAUUCUUCUGUCCCUUUGCCAGAACAUAAAGAAAGUACUGUAUUUUAUAUUUUUAUUGCUUGAAGUAUCUAAAAUUCGAUUCUCAAUACUGUUUUAAAGCUGUUUACUGUUUACAAAGGAUUUUCAUGUGGUUUAUACAUUUUUCUCCUUCCAAAAUAUUCCCAUCUCAACCCUGGCAAAAGAAAACUCCUUACAACAUAUUUGGGGUGGGUUGGUUUGCUUGCUUGUUUUGGAGACAACGUCUCUCUCUAUUGCCCAUGCUGGCCUCCAACCCCUGGGCUCCAGCAGUCUUCUUAACCUCUCUGGUAGUUGGAACCAUUGGGCUCCUUCCAUCAUGCCUGGCUGUCGGGGAGCAUGGCCAAAAGAAUAGAGUGGUGCAGGCUCCAUGGUAAAAGUCUUUGCCUGGGUUGUGUUUGCUCAGUAGAAGUAAACAUGUUUUUCAGCCCCUGCACAUUCACAUGAGGAGCUUUAGGGAGUCGCAUGGGCCCUGUCCCUUUCCUGACCUUUGGUCUCACACAUGCCAGAGUGAAGCCCUUACUUUUAAUUCUUAUUUAAAAGGAUUUUUUAAGGGGAAGAAUUUUUUUUCUAAAAUAUAAGGUUUUAUCUUUUAAAUGGCUUCUUUUUUAGAAUGCAUUUAUAUUAUUCAGUCUUGCUAGUUUAAGAUAAUUAACUUAGGAUAUGUAUAGUGUAUUUCUGUUUUGCCUACUAAUAAAUUGUUAUACCAAACUUAAUGCCAACAAACUUUAUGCUUAGAAUUUUAAGAUUAAAAGGCCUAUAGAAAAUACUUCUUGAAAUUUAUACUAUUUUUCCAUUUCUGGUUAGAAUUCCUAAUCUUUUUCUUAAGUUCCUUUCAGUUUAAACAUCAUGAAGCCAUAGUAACAUUUCUCCUCUACCGUACUCUUGCUCCUAGCUGAUGAAUGUCAGCUUGUGGGGUUUUUUUGUUUUUUAUGGUAUGGCUUAUAAAACUGACUAAAAUGUCAAUCUGAACAACUUAUAGAAUCGAUUCUCUUGUUAAGAAGAGUUGAGAGUUUAAUGUAUAUUCUUGAUGGCAAAUGUGUCUGUAGAGUGUGCAUGUUACAUGUCUAUAUUACAGUAUCUAAGCACUGGCAUUGAUACCAUAUAUUAAUAAUUCUGUAGCUGCUAUAUUUAUUGAGGCAGAGUCUGACAUUUACUGCACUAAACAAUGAGACAAGCAAGAUGCCAGGCAGUCAGACACUUUUGGUUUCUUAGGUAAGUUUAAGGACAUAAAACAUGAAGGUAACGAACAGCGGGUACUUGAAACAGUGCUGGCUUCAGUUUAGUAACAGAAUACCUUUGCUUUAGAAACGUGGGGUUUUUACAUUGACAUCCACAUGAGGGUCUUCAGUCUUCUCAGUCCUGGGCUUGGGCACAUUUCUACAUAAAUACGGAUGACCUUUUAUUUUAUUAAUAGAUAAUUAUCUUUUAACAAUUUUCCAGGAAAAAAUAGUCUGGAAAUACCUCUGCUUAUGACCUAUUAGUUUAUUUUUGUUCCUAAAGAGAAUCUGGAAGGGACUCCAGUAGGAAUGUUCUAUGUGUUUUGGAAGGCAUUUGAUAAAGAUUCAUCUCUACCUUCUAGCAGAGAGACUCCUCACCUUCAAAAGACCCAACAACUUUUCUAAGCCAGGCUCUCUAUGGUGCCAGUAGCCUAAUAAUGACUUUCAUCGUGUCUUGUAGAUCGCAGGGUGGCAAGUGUGUCUUGGGGAAUUAAAACCAGAUGCUGCUGAGUAGAAAUGGCUCGAGAUCUCAGUCACAGGCGGUGUGAGCACUUGGAGCCCAGCCAUAGAAGUGAAGCCCAGAGAGCUAUCCAUCCAAAACACGUGGUGGGCCUUUCAGAUGCUUAAUUCUUAGGAAAUUCACUUUGGACACUGGUAGAAUAGUUUGUUCCCUUUCUGAUUAAAAUUUUUAGAGUAAUGUUUUGCCAGGAAGUUUAACUGACAUCUCUGCAUAAUUUUGACUGGGUGUCAGUAAACUAAGUUAUAUGUUCAGUUAAGCCAAGUUAAGGUACACCUAUAAGCCCAGCCCUCAGGAGCAUCAGUAAUUCAAAGCCAGCCUCAGCAACAUGAGACCAUGCCUCAAAACACAGCAAACACUUUGUUUACCUCAGCCCUGCAGGUAUUCUCCUGCUGCAGUUCCGUGUAGUUCACUUGUCUCUUAGAAGUUGUGUGAGUGCCUCAAAGAAAGACAGCUCACUUGUCAACAUUCGUGAAGUGUUGGUCCCUUUCAUCCUUUUUGAGAAUUCAUAGAUAUUUUCGAAGCUUUAAUAAAAAUAGCUGGAGAACUUAACUUGAGUGAGGUCUUCCUGAGUCUUGUUAUAAUCCUGACUUGAGUAUCUUCAUUUUCCUUUCCACUUAACACAGAAUAUUUCUGUGAUUCUAUGAGUCAAAAACUAAGCCAGGAAUACUUAUGUAAAGGUCAAUACAGAGGACAAGGGGACGGCUAAGCAGGUAAAGGCACACCCCUGCAAGCCUGAAAACCUGAGCUCAAUCCUUGGAACCCAAACGGUGGAAAGACAGAACCAGCUCCCAUAACUUGCCCUCUGACCUUCAUACACAUGCCAUGGCACCACCCAUCGGGCUCAAGCACACGGGCGUGCGCGGGCACACACACACUCACGCGUACUUUUAAAUGUAAUUUUUAAGUCUAUAGAAAUCAGAAAAGCAGCUGGGUUUAGUGCUUGCCUGUGAUCCUAACCAGAAGAUCUGGAGCUCAGGACCAGCCUGGGCAGUUUGUCUAGGAUACAUAGUGACACUGUGUCCCCCGACUUUGCCAACCCCCUGCCCCC